GGGCGUUUGGCACAGUGGUAGCGCGCACGCUUUGCAUUCAGACAUGCGUGAGGUCGAGGGUUCAAACCCCCCAACGUCCA
rfam:Trametes versicolor FP-101664 SS1 unplaced genomic scaffold TRAVEscaffold_12, whole genome shotgun sequence.